GUUUUAGUAGUUUAAUUAAAAACAAUGAUUUUGUAAAUCGUUAAUGGUUAUUACCUUAAAACU
rnacentral:tRNA from 1 species